GUAAAGAUCAAAUCAGUAUAAUUGGGAUACUUAUUGCCUUAAACAGGUAUCUUUUCUUUUUCUGGAGGCAGCCAAAUGAUUCUUAUCUGGGUAUUUGAAAAUAUCAACUAGAUUUUUGUGAACUAUAGUCACUCUACUAGAUUGAUCAAAGCCUAGGUCUCAUUUCUUCUGUCUGUUUGUACCCAUUGAUCAACUUCUCUCCAUCCUCUUCUUUGCUUUGCUGAAUUAUUGUUUCCACACUGGAAUUCCUCAGCAUGCUUCCUGAAUGCCUUCUGCUGUAGCGAAUCUCCUGCAGGGUCCACACGUUAGUGGCUCUGUACGCUACUUUUACUUUAGGUUUCUGAUUGUUUAUGUUGUAAAGGAAAUAUUUCCAUUUAUGAUUUUAAAAAUAUUGUUUGUGAAAGAACAAUUCUUUUCACAGUUUUUAAUGAAAGGUUUAUGCCUAUAAGUAAUGUCUAUGGAGGAAGAGACCUCAGGGAUUGACUUCAGGAAAUCAUGAAUUUGCUCUUUAUUAUGUUGUGUAAUAAAACACUUUUAUAUUC
rnacentral:lncRNA from 10 species